rnacentral:misc_RNA from 1 species
GAAAUGCGAUAAGUAGUGUGAAUUGCAGAAUUCAGUGAAUCAUCGAAUCUUUGAACGCACAUUGCGCCCUUUGGUAUUCCUUAGGGCAUGCCUGUUCGAGCGUCAUCUAAACCUUUAAGCCCUGCUUGGUGUUGGGUGCCUGUCCCGCCUCCGCGCGCGGACUCACCUCAAAUCCAUUGGCGGCCCCCGCGUCGGCCACGAGCGCAGCAGAAACGCGAACUCGUGAGCCCGUCCGGGCGGCUCCCAGAAGCUACACCCACCCAGUUUGACCUCGGAUCAGGUAGGGAUACCCGCUGAACUUAGGC